rnacentral:tRNA from 1 species
GGUGGCUCAGUGGUAGAGUACUUGCCUUGCAUGCGUGAGGCUCUGGGUUCGAUUCCUCAGCACCA